rnacentral:rRNA from 1 species
GGGGAAUCUUCCGCAAUGGGCGAAAGCCUGACGGAGCAACGCCGCGUGAGGGAGGAAGGUCUUUGGAUUGUAAACCUCUUUUCUCAAGGAAGAAGUUCUGACGGUACUUGAGGAAUCAGCCUCGGCUAACUCCGUGCCAGCAGCCGCGGUAAUACGGGGGAGGCAAGCGUUAUCCGGAAUUAUUGGGCGUAAAGCGUCCGCAGGUGGUCAGCCAAGUCUGCCGUCAAAUCAGGUUGCUUAACGACCUAAAGGCGGUGGAAACUGGCAGACUAGAGAGCAGUAGGGGUAGCAGGAAUUCCCAGUGUAGCGGUGAAAUGCGUGGAGAUUGGGAAGAACAUCGGUGGCGAAAGCGUGCUACUGGGCUGUAUCUGACACUCAGGGACGAAAGCUAGGGGAGCGAAAGGGAUUAGAUACCCCUGUAGUC